rnacentral:rRNA from 1 species
AGAGUUUGAUCAUGGCUCAGAACGAACGCUGGCGGCGCGCCUAACACAUGCAAGUCGAGCGGCCUCUUUCGGGGGGCAGCGGCGGACGGGUGAGCAACGCGUGGGAACCUGCCCUGGAGCCUGGAAUAGCAGCGGGAAACUGCUGGUAAGACCGGAUACGCCCGAGAGGGGAAAGACUUGUCGCUCUGGGAUGGGCCCGCGUCCGAUUAGCUAGUUGGUGGGGUAACGGCCCACCAAGGCUGCGAUCGGUAGCCGGUCUGAGAGGAUGAUCGGCCACACUGGGACUGAGACACGGCCCAGACUCCUACGGGAGGCAGCAGUGGGGAAUCUUGGACAAUGGGGGCAACCCUGAUCCAGCGACGCCGCGUGGGUGAUGAAGGCCUUCGGGUUGUAAAGCCCUUUUCCUGGGGACGAUGAUGACGGUACCCGGGGAAUAAGCACCGGCUAACUCCGUGCCAGCCGCCGCGGUAAUUC